rnacentral:lncRNA from 1 species
GAUGGCCGGUGAGGAGUCUAAAACCAUGGGAAGAAAGAAAAGAGAGAGAGGAAGAAAGAUUGAACCCUUACCUGAACUCCGAUGGCUUCUUCGAUCUUCGAUUUUCGAUGAAUACAAGAAGAGGGUGCCGCGGCUUCCAAGGGUAAAAGAGAGGAAUUUGAGCUCAACGAUUGCUGGUAGAGGAUCGAGAGGGAGAGGGGAGGCUUAUUUAUAGAGGGUCCUAGAGUUUCAAGAGUCUUAGAACCUUUCUCCAAUCAAGAUUCAUUAGAGGGAGUCUUCUUCCCAUUUUCUAUUUUAUUUAUUUAUUUAUUUAUUUAUUUUGGUAUGGGCUUUGGGCGUUUGGGCUUGGUUCAGGUCCAAAUGGGCCGGGUGUUACAAAAUAUAAAUUAUUUAAAUGAUUAGCAUUGACUAUUGGCAGAACUCAAUAGUUUGGAAUCAAGUUGUCGAUGCUGUUAUUAAUACACCCCAUACUUCCAGGAGCGACAAGGCAUUCAAAACACAUCCCAUUGUUUCAGGAGCAACUAGCCAUUCAAAACAC